AUGGUUGUUUUAAUCCAAAGUUUAAGAAAGAUGGGGACCGGGAGGGAGACUAUACAAAGAAGACAGGAAGUCAGACUGUUAAGGAUCUGGUGUUGUCACUGUUGUGGCUCAGGUCACUGGUGUGGCACGGGUUCGACCCCUGGCCAGGGAAGCUUCACAUGCUGCAGGCGCGGCCACAAGGAAAAAAGGAAGAGAAAGGAGGACGUCAGAACCUCUACUGGACUGUACAGGCAAGGAGACUGGCCUGCCUCGGAGGGUCCGUCCCUGGACUGUCUGGACACAGGCCCGCGUUUGCGAGAUGAAGCCCUCGUGGUUCCCAGACCCGAGUCCACACCCCGCUCUUCCUGUAACCCGUCCAUUAAAUGGAGUUCCGGCCCUUGGACUGUGGUCCCAAGCUUUUCGCCAUUUUUCCACUGGGGGCACCUCUGUCCAGUGCAGUCCUUACACUGGCUCAACAGCAGUUGCUCGACGUAUAAAUGGGCGUUAGGCCAGCGGUUUUUUGUUGGCAUGUCUGUAUGCAUGUCCCUCUGUAUGUAUAUGCGUAUGCAUUUUGGCCCCUCCGUCAGCGUGCAGAAGUUCCCCAGGCCAGAGAUGGAACCUGUGCCACAGUAGUGACGAUGCCAAAUCCUCAACCCACUAAGCCACCAGGAAACUCCCAGGCCAAAGCUUCAAAAGGAUGGGGUGCAGGGGUCAUGUGGGAGCACAUUCCAGAAAAGCCAUAUCGACACGUCAGGCUCGUCCUACAUCCUCGGACUGCAGGAGACUUGGGUCUGCGCAUGUCCUUUCAAGUCUUGGAGGGGCCUCUGCUGCAGCCUUUCCCAGACCUGCUUGACCCUGACCCCUUUGAUUUCAUGUGGAAUCUCACGGGUCUUGCAUUCCUUGCUGGAUUGGGGGAGAUCUGCUUUCAAGGCCCCUGCAAGUUAGAUAAUCCACACACACAAAAAGGCAAAGGCAAAUCCAUCAUGCCUCUGGAGGUAUCCCGUUCCAAAAUAUUAUUAACCAAGUGUUUUAAUUGCUUGUCUUGGUGCCAUGUCUUUGACACCUAGACUCACCUCCUAUUGGGGGAACUUCCCUGUUCCCGGCAGCCAGGAUUCAGGGGUCAAGGGGGAGUGGACAGGGCAGAGCAGUGACCCAUCCAAAGACAUUCAAGUUUAGGGAGUUCCUGUUGUGGCUCAGCGGUAAUGAACCUGACUAGUAUCCAUGAGGAUGCAGGUUCGAUCCCUGGCCUCUUUCAGUGGGUUAAGACUCUGGUGUUGCUUUGAGCUUCGGUGUGGGUCACAGACCCGGCUGGGAUCUGGUGUGACUGCUGCGGCUGUGGCUGUGGGGUAGGUUGGCAGCUGCAGCUCUGAUUUGACCCCGAACCUGGGAACUUCCACAUGCAAAGGGUGCGACCCUAAAAAAAAAAAAAAAAAAAAAGACAUUCUUUCAGGUUCAGCCCCUCAGGAGGGAAAGAACACGGAGGGCUUUGAGACCUUCUGAUGUGAGGAAGCACAGGAAGGAUUCCAGAGGCUUCUCUCCCCACCACCGCCUUCUCCACUCAUCCUUUUAUACUGCGUUUAUUUCCUCCAUCGAGUUGAGUGAGAAUGAAACCGUUUACCCCCUGCUUGCCUCA
rnacentral:lncRNA from 1 species